rnacentral:rRNA from 1 species
ACUCAAAGGAAUUGACGGGGGCCCGCACAAGCGGUGGAGCAUGUGGUUUAAUUCGACGCAACGCGAAGAACCUUACCAAGGCUUGACAUGGGUAUGACAGGUAUAGAGAUAUACCAUUUCUUCUGGAACAUACCACACAGGUGGUGCAUGGUUGUCGUCAGCUCGUGUCGUGAGAUGUUGGGUUAAGUCCCGCAACGAGCGCAACCCUUAUGUUCAGUUGCCAUCAAGUAAAGUUGGGCUACACUGGAGAGACUGCCGUGGAGAACACGGAGGAAGGCGGGGAUGACGUCAAAUCAUCAUGCCCCUUAUGUCUUGGGCUACACACGUGCUACAAUGGCAGCAACAGCGUGAAGCAAUAUAGUGAUAUGGAGCGAAGCACGAAAAGCUGUCCCAGUUCGGAUUGCAGGCUGCAACCCGCCUGCAUGAAGUUGGAAUCGCUAGUAAUCGCGAAUCAGCAUGUCGCGGUGAAUACGUUCCCGGGCCUUGUACACACCGCCCGU